GACGAACCGUGCGAACGUUGUUCGGAUUCACUGGGCUUAAAGGGCGCGUAGGCGGGCGGUCAAGUCGGGGGUGAAAUCUUUCAGCUUAACUGGAAAAGUGCCUCCGAUACUGAUCGCCUCGAGGGAGGUAGGGGCAUGUGGAACUUCCGGUGGAGCGGUGAAAUGCGUAGAUAUCGGAAGGAACGCCGGUGGCGAAAGCGACGUGCUGGACCUCUUCGACGCUGAGGCGCGAAGGCUAGGGGAGCAAACAGG
rnacentral:rRNA from 1 species